ensembl:lncRNA
ACAGAUGGUACGGUCUAUACUGAGAAGGUCAAAUUACUCUGCACGUCGCGCGCGUCCGGUGAAACUGCGGCUCGUGUCAGAGUAACCGGCUCGGGACAGGCGGCUUUCCGCAGCAUGAAGUGAAUGUAAGUAGCAUUUUCUCCUCGUUUUUCCCCUUAUGUGUUUUGAAAACGGUGGCGCGCUCGGACAGUGGAAGUUCGGCUGCUGAAACUCGGGAUGUGACUCAUCGUGGGACAGUAACGGAUCCGCUCGCGCGCGCUGUGCACCUGAAUGACGCGCAGGUCCGCUCCCUGAAGCAAAGCCUCUCCUCCGGACUUUCCGGAAGCUUCUGUACUGGACAGAGGAGACAUCUGCAACAUGUUCAGCACCAAAGGUCAGGGUGACAUCACUGUUUUUGUGUUGUUUCUUGUGGACAUACGUGAACGCAAGAAGGAAAAUGUCACAAACCUCUCGGGCAGACCAUUUGGAAAGGCUAAUGCAGCAGAUUCCAAAGUGACAUUUGAGUCAUAGGCUUUAUUUUCAGAUAUGAUUCAGAUUUUGUGAGGAAAACGAAGACCGAGCUGAUUUCAGGUCAGAAAUGAGGCCUUUCCUCGACUGUCGAAGUAUCCGUAACUGCCUUACGUUAUGCUCGAGCAUUUCAUCCACAUUCGAACGUUCUGCAAACCAUGUUCUACUAUUAGUCACCAAUGAAUGAAUGAAUGAACGCCUUUUAUUGUCACUAUACAUAUGUACAAUGAAAUUAAGAGCCACUCCUUUUGGUUCCGUGCAAACAUAUACAUUCAAUACACAAGAAGAAUAAACAGAUAAAUAAACAAGAUAAAUAAACAAAAUAAAUAAACAAGAUAUACAAUAUAUGCAAGAUAGAUAUGCAAGAUAGAUAUUGGGGUGGAUGGGGGAGGUACUAUGAAAUGCACAGUUUUGAGACACUAUAUACAUAUGCUGUGGACUCAGUACAUGUGUUUGUUUAUGAUGGUAAUAGCUUUCGG